rnacentral:rRNA from 1 species
AUACAGAGGGUGCAAGCGUUAAUCGGAUUUACUGGGCGUAAAGCGCGCGUAGGUGGCUAAUUAAGUCAAAUGUGAAAUCCCCGAGCUUAACUUGGGAAUUGCAUUCGAUACUGGUUAGCUAGAGUAUGGGAGAGGAUGGUAGAAUUCCAGGUGUAGCGGUGAAAUGCGUAGAGAUCUGGAGGAAUACCGAUGGCGAAGGCAGCCAGCGGGCCUAAUACUGACACUGGGGUGCGAAAGCAUGGGGAGCAAACAGGAUUAGAUACCCUGGUAGUCCAUGCCGUAAACGAUGUCUACUAGCCGUUGGGGCCCUUGAGGCUUUAGUGGCGCAGCUAACGCGAUAAGUAGACCGCCUGGGGAGUACGGUCGCAAGACUAAAACUCAAAUGAAUUGACGGGG